AGCAGCCGUAGUAAUUCCAGCUCCAAUAGCGUAUAUUAAAGUUGUUGCAGUUAAAAAGUUCGUAGUUGAAUUUCGGUUAGUAGGCUGGUUAUGGAACUCGCGUCUGCAGGUUUAUGUAACUGGUCUUACUAAUUCCUCCUUCCUGAUGAACUGUAGUGCCAUUAAUUUGGUGUUGCAGGGAAUCUGGACUGUUACUUUGAAAAAAUUAGUGUGUUUAAAGCAGGCUAACGCUUGAAUACAUUAUGAAAUAGGACGUUCGAUCCUAUUGUUGGUUUCUAGGAUUGACGUAAUGAUUAAUAGGGAUAGUUGGGGCAUUAGUAUUCAAUUGUCAGAGGUGAAAUUCUUGGAUUUAUUGAAGA
rnacentral:sRNA from 1 species